UCUUUUCCAGGGUCCCACUCAGAAAACCACAUUACAAUUAGCUGACAAGUCUCUUUAGGUUCCUCUUGGCUGUGAUGGUUUCUCAGAAUUUUUCUGUUUUUGAUAACCUUGCCAGUUUUGAAGAGUACUGCUAAGAUAUUUUGAAGAAUGCCCCUCACUGGAUUUGUCUGAUGUUUUUUCUCAUGAUCAGACAAGGGUUAUGGGUUUUGGGAGGAAGACCACAAAGGUAAAGCGUCAUUUUCAUUUUCACUAUCAAGAGCAUAGGCUAUCAAUAUGACUUAUCACUGUUGAUAUUAAUCUUGAUUACCUGAGUUAGUAUUCGUCAGGUUUCUCCACUGAAGUUUUUUUUUUCUCCUUUCCAAACUGAUAACCUUAGGAAGGAAGUCACUAUGCAUAGUCCAUACUUAACAAGUGGGAGUUAAGCCCCACCUCCUUGAGGGUGCAGCAUCUACAUAAAUUACAUGGAAUUCUUCUGCAGGAGAUUUGUAUCUUCUGUCUCAUUUAUUUAUUUAUUUCAGCAUUUACUUAGUCAUUAUAGACUGAUGGUUAUUUAUUCUAUAGUUCAGUUUAUAUUCCAAUACUAUUUAUUUUGUUGUUUAAACUGUUCCAGCUUUGGGAAAUCAUUUAGUUGGUGCUUGUGUCCCUUUUACAUAACCCCGUCAUUGUCGUUCUUCAUUUCUUUCCUUAUUAACUUCCUCAGUUGUUGGCAGUACAAGCAAGACGUUCCAGGCUUAUUUUAGGUAUUUACUUCAUUGGUUCUACAAUCAUCCGUUAAUCCAAGAAUCCCCGGCUCCUCAUAUUGGAGACUGGUAUUUGAAACUAAAGUCUGAGCAUUAGAUGCCCUCAAUAUUACACAUGUUUCAAAGUUUGCUCUUUUUUAUUAAUAAGUACUUCAUAGCGUAGGCGUGUCAUAGUUUAAUCGUCCACGAGUGGAAGGAUACCUGGACUCUUCCCAUUUUUGGCUAUUAAUAAAGUUGCUAGGGAACAUUCAUCUUCUCCUGGAUUAAAUGCCCAAGAGUGUAAUUCCUAAGUCAUAAGGUUAGUGCAUGUUCUGUUUUAAAAGAAACAGGCUAAAACUUUAGAAUGCUGGAGUGGCUUACCAUUUUAUAUCCCAUUUCCACAAGCAGCAUGAGUGAUCCAGUUCCUCCGUAUCCUUGCCAACAUCUGGGAUUAUUUUUAAGCCAUUUUGGUAGGUGUGUAGUGAUAUUUUAUUUUGAUUUUAUAAUAAUAUUUUCUCUGCGGCUGAGAACAAAGGAAGGACGGAGGGGAAAAAGCGCCAGAUCUUGUGAGAACACGAAAACGCAAGAGCAGGAGAGCGUGAGAAUCUCGCGAGAAAGCGCGCAGAUUCCUGAGAGAACCAGGUUGCCUGAGAAAACCUCUGGGCUCCUGAGAGAGGGAGAGAGAAAGGGGCACUGUCUCGUGUUGGCUCAGCGAUUGUAGAUUUCAUUGGCUUUAACCAAAGGAGAACUUUCCAACAGAGAUUGAAACUUAAGAAGCACUAAACAAGAAAUCCAGUAGAGUGGAAGACCAAGGGACAGAAAAGUCAAGAAACUUAUUUAAGGUGUCAUUGCUAGAAAGUGGUUGAACCAGGAUUCAGCACAACCAGCCUGGCCUAGAAUCUGUGUUUUAAACACAGGUAAGUUGUAUUUUUUUAAUCAAAUAAACUUUCUGAACCUGAAAAUUUGUAUAAGAUCACAAAUAAAGGAUAAAUUUGCCAAAUAAAUUCUGUUCUAAGAUGGGAAGAAGUAUUUUGGAGGCCCCCCAUUUUACUCCAAGCGACAGACCUCUGUAUUUCUGUGCAGUCUUGGUUUUCUCUUCAAAAGUCUGUGACAAGGAUAGGUACAGACAACUUAAAUAAAGUAAAGAUAAAAAGUAUUUAUUAGUCUUGAGAGCAUUGCAAU